UACGUAGGGCGCAAGCGUUGUCCGGAAUUAUUGGGCGUAAAGAGCUCGUAGGCGGUUCGUGUCACGUCGUCUGUGAAAACCCGAGGCUCAACCUCGGGCCGCAGUGGGUACGGGCAGACUAGAGUGCGGUAGGGGAGAUUGGAAUUCCUGGUGUAGCGGUGGAAUGCGCAGAUAUCAGGAGGAACACCGAUGGCGAAGGCAGAUCUCUGGGCCGUAAC
rnacentral:rRNA from 1 species